UACGUAGGGUGCAAGCGUUAAUCGGAAUUACUGGGCGUAAAGCGUGCGCAGGCGGUUGUGUAAGACAGAUGUGAAAUCCCCGGGCUCAACCUGGGAACUGCAUUUGUGACUGCACGGCUGGAGUGCGGCAGAGGGGGAUGGAAUUCCGCGUGUAGCAGUGAAAUGCGCAGAUAUGCGGAGGAACACCGAUGGCGAAGGCAAUCCCCUGGGCCUGCGCUGACGCUCAUGCACGAAAGCGUGGGGAGCAAACAGG
rnacentral:rRNA from 1 species